UUGAGGUGGCAGGUGGAAGUAGUGACAACCAGGCGGAGAGUAAUAACCAGGCGGAGAGUAACAACCGAGCGGAGAGUAACAACCGAGCUGAGAGUAACAACCGAGCUGAGAGUAACAACCAGACGAAGAACAGUUCCAAGAGCUACUGCGUACAGGACUAUUUAAACUUUUUAAAGAACAACACGCUUGACAAUCCUUACGAAUUAAAAAACGUUUCUUACAAAGUAAUGAGCGACUUGAGUUCGUUUAAUAUGUUUUCUUAUUUGAGAAAACAUAGCAAUAGUGUCAUAAUUGCUUUACAACGAAUUUUCAUUUGUAUGCAAAUGUAUUCACUAGUUGUGUGUGCGAAACAAGGAAAAGAAUUUUUCAAAAAAAAUGACACUAAUACUAUAAACGAUAUGUUUCAUAAAGAAAGAGGUAAGUUGGAUAUGGUUGGUUCGGAUGAUAAGAUAUGUAGUUACUGUUCAUGUAGUAACCAUAGUUGUAACAGUAUGAAUGAACUAAUGACUGAGACUAGUACUACAACGGUAAAAUCGAAUAAAGUGACAUACAACAGUUCUAACAGUAAUAACGAAAUUGAAAAUUAUAAAGAUAUGAUAGGUAAUAAUAACCAACAAAUGUGUACUUGUCAUGGAUACAUACAAACUAAAAUGAAUGUUAACACAAAUGAUACUAAUAACUUUAUUAAUAUAAACUCGAUCAAAGUUUUGGAAGAGAACAAAGAAGGUUUAUGUUUAGAUAGUCUUUCGAAAAACAAUGAACAAUGUGAACGUGUAUAUAAACAUUUAAAGAACUUAACCCCCAAUCAAAGAAAUUGUUUAUAUUAUUAUAAAAACACAUUGUUUUAUCCUGAUAGUCAAUCGGAGUAUGAAAAUAGAAUGGGGUGUGAUUUGGGUAUGUGCGGAAAGUGUAGUAAAUCAUGCGACGGUAGUAGUGUAGUUGACAAAAGUUGCAAUGGUGAUACUGUCACUACUGCUCCUGUCACUACCACCACUACUACACCUACCACUACUACACCUACUACUACACCUACUACUACUACUACUACUACACCUACUACUACACCUACUACUACUACUACACCCACCACUACUGCACCUGCCAUUACUGCUCCUACCACUUCAACCACUUCACACAACACCUGCUUCCAUAACAAAGACAACCACACAACGAACAAAAAAUACAACAUUCUAAAUACGUACAACAAAAACGAUAACUAUACCCAUUUUUUUCAGCCAAUGUUACCAAAUUUAAAAAUUCUGUUAAUCAGUCUAAAUAGAAUAAUGUUUAAUCAGUAUAAAUGCAAUGAACCGUUCAUAAAGAUAUAUGAACUAUUAUUUAAAUAUCUUUUGUAUGAGAUUAUAAAUGAAAAAGCUACAAUAUUUAAAAAAAUAAAAAAUUUGAGAAAGGUAGUCAGUGGUAGCGAUACUGUGCAAAAUAAUGUAAAAGAUAAUGUAAAAGAUAAUGUAAAAAAUAAUGUAAAAGAUA
rnacentral:lncRNA from 1 species